AAGACCUUGCGCUUUUGGAGCGGCCGAUGCCUGAUUAGCUUGUUGGUAAGGUAAAAGCUUACCAAGGCUUCGAUCAGUAGCUGGUCUGAGAGGACGACCAGCCACACUGGGACUGAGACACGGCCCAGACUCCUACGGGAGGCAGCAGUGGGGAAUUUUGGACAAUGGGGGCAACCCUGAUCCAGCCAUGCCGCGUGAGUGAAGAAGGCCUUCGGGUUGUAAAGCUCUUUCAGCCGGAACGAAACGGUUACGGAUAACACCCGUGACUACUGACGGUACCGGAAGAAGAAGCACCGGCUAACUACGUGCCAGCAGCCGCGGUAAUACGUAGGGUGCGAGCGUUAAUCGGAAUUACUGGGCGUAAAGCGUGCGCAGGUGGUUUUGUAAGUCAGAUGUGAAAGCCCCGGGCUCAACUUGGGAACU
rnacentral:rRNA from 1 species